ACCUGGCUGGCUCAGUUGGUAGGGCAUGUGACUCUUGAUCUCAGGGUGGUGAGUUCAAGCCCCAUGUUGGGUG
rnacentral:tRNA from 1 species